rnacentral:rRNA from 1 species
AAGUCGUAACAAGGUCUCCGUUGGUGAACCAGCGGAGGGAUCAUUACUGAGUACUACACUCUCUACCCUUUGUGAACUAUUAUACCUGUUGCUUCGGCGGCGCCCGCAAGGGUGCCCGCCGGUCUCAUCAGAAUCUCUGUUUUCGAACCCGACGAUACUUCUGAGUGUUCUUAGCGAACUGUCAAAACUUUUAACAACGGAUCUCUUGGCUCCAGCAUCGAUGAAGAACGCAGCGAAACGCGAUAUGUAAUGUGAAUUGCAGAAUUCAGUGAAUCAUCGAAUCUUUGAACGCACAUGGCGCCUUCCAGUAUCCUGGGAGGCAUGCCUGUCCGAGCGUCGUUUCAACCCUCGAGCCCCUGUGGCCCGGCGUUGGGGAUCUGCCACGGCAGGCCCCUAAAACCAGUGGCGGACCCGAAGGGCCCUCUCCUUUGCGCAGUAGCAUUCGCCUCGCAUCGGGAGUCCUCGGCGUCCUGCCUCUAAACCCCCCACAAGCCCGCUUCGGCGGCACCAAGGUUGACCUCGGAUCAGGUAGGAAUACCCGCUGAACUUAAGCU